AAAAAAGAAGAAACAUAAACGGUGUGUUCAUUUGGAUAUUUGGAUGGCCCACUUUUGCUCUUUUUUAUUUUUUUUGCACUACAUUUCUUUCAAGCAUGAUAUCAUGAUUGUGAUUUUCACAA
rnacentral:ribozyme from 1 species